rnacentral:rRNA from 1 species
GAUGAACGCUAGCGGCAGGCCUAAUACAUGCAAGUCGAACGAUAUUAUCCAGCUUGCUGGAUAUGAAAGUGGCGCACGGGUGCGUAACGCGUAUGCAACCUACCUUAUUCAGGGGGAUAGCCCGAAUAAAUUCGGAUUAACACCGCAUAAAAUCACAGUUCAGCGUUGGACAAUGAUCAAAUAUUUAUAGGAAUAAGAUGGGCAUGCGUGUCAUUAGCUAGUUGGCGGGGCAACGGCCCACCAAGGCGACGAUGACUAGGGGAUCUGAGAGGAUGGCCCCCCACACUGGUACUGAGACACGGACCAGACUCCUACGGGAGGCAGCAGUAAGGAAUAUUGGUCAAUGGAGGCAACUCUGAACCAGCCAUGCCGCGUGCAGGAAGACGGCCCUCUGGGUUGUAAUCUGCUUUUAUUCGGGAAUAAACCUGCUUACGUGUAAGUAGCUGAAUGUACCGAAGGAAUAAGGAUCGGCUAACUCCGUGCCAGCAGCCGCCGUAA